UCAGUAGGGACGAAGCGCAAGUGACGGUACCUACAGAAGAAGCACCGGCCAACUACGUGCCAGCAGCCGCGGUAAUACGUAGGGUGCAAGCGUUGUCCGGAAUUAUUGGGCGUAAAGAGCUCGUAGGCGGUCUGUCACGUCGGCUGUGAAAACCCGAGGCUCAACCUCGGGCCUGCAGUCGAUACGGGCAAACUGGAGUACUGCAGGGGAGACUGGAAUUCCUGGUGUAGCGGUGAAAUGCGCAGAUAUCAGGAGGAACACCGGUGGCGAAGGCGGGUCUCUGGGCAGUAACUGACGCUGAGGAGCGAAAGCGUGGGGAGCGAACAGGAUUAGAUACCCUGGUAGUCCAUGCCGUAAACGCUGGGCGCUAGGUGUGGGGGCCAUUCCACGGUCUCCGUGCCGCAGCUAACGCAUUAAGCGCCCCGCCUGGGGAGUACGGCCGCAAGGCUAAAACUCAAAGGAAUUGACGGGGGCCCGCACAAGCGGCGGAGCAUGUUGCUUAAUUCGAUGCAACGCGAAGAACCUUACCUAGGCUUGACAUGCACGGAAAUCUCGUAGAGAUACGGGGGGUCCGUAAGGGCCGUGCACAGGUGGUGCAUGGUUGUCGUCAGCUCGUGUCG
rnacentral:rRNA from 1 species